GUCAAUGUAGCUUAAACUUUUAAAAGCAAGACACUGAAAAUGUCUAAAUGGGCUAAACUAGCCCCAUUAACA